rnacentral:rRNA from 1 species
AGUGAACGCUGGCGGUAGGCCUAAUACAUGCAAGUCGAACGGACGCACAGUAAGAGUUCGUCUCUAAGGUUGGCGGCUGGCGGACGGGUGAGACAUACAUAGGAAUCUUCUUUUACGUGGGGGACUACGUAGGACCACAUCUGCUACCACAGCAUAUUUUCUACGGCUGAAAGCAAGAGUUCAUCGCACUCUUCGUGUCUGUAUGAGAUGGUGCCGGAUUAGCUAGUUGGCGGGGUAAAGGCACACCAAGGCGACGAUCCGUAGCUGGUCUGAGAGGAUGAUCAGCCACACUGGAACUGAGACACGGUCCAGACUCCUACGGGAGGCAGCAGUAGGGAAUAUUGGACAAUGGGCGCAAGCCUGACCCAGCCAUGCCGCGUGGGUGAAGAAGGCCUUCGGGUUGUAAAGCUCUGUUGUUGGGAAAGAAAAGCAGCAGGUUAAUACCCCGCUGUUCUGACGGUACCCAAAGAAUAAGCACCGGCUAACUUCGUG